rnacentral:rRNA from 1 species
UGACAGUCGAGCGAAUGGAUUAAGAGCUUGCUCUUAUGAAGUUAGCGGCGGACGGGUGAGUAACACGUGGGUAACCUGCCCAUAAGACUGGGAUAACUCCGGGAAACCGGGGCUAAUACCGGAUAACAUUUUGAACCGCAUGGUUCGAAAUUGAAAGGCGGCUUCGGCUGUCACUUAUGGAUGGACCCGCGUCGCAUUAGCUAGUUGGUGAGGUAACGGCUCACCAAGGCAACGAUGCGUAGCCGACCUGAGAGGGUGAUCGGCCACACUGGGACUGAGACACGGCCCAGACUCCUACGGGAGGCAGCAGUAGGGAAUCUUCCGCAAUGGACGAAAGUCUGACGGAGCAACGCCGCGUGAGUGAUGAAGGCUUUCGGGUCGUAAAACUCUGUUGUUAGGGAAGAACAAGUGCUAGUUGAAUAAGCUGGCACCUUGACGGUACCUAACCAGAAAGCCACGGCUAACUACGUGCCAGCAGCCGCGGUAAUACGUAGGUGGCAAGCGUUAUCCGGAAUUAUUGGGCGUAAAGCGCGCGCAGGUGGUUUCUUAAGUCUGAUGUGAAAGCCCACGGCUCAACCGUGGAGGGUCAUUGGAAACUGGGAGACUUGAGUGCAGAAGAGGAGAGUGGAAUUCCAUGUGUAGCGGUGAAAUGCGUAGAGAUAUGGAGGAACACCAGUGGCGAAAGCGGACUUUCUGGUCUGUAACUGACACUGAGCGCGAAAGCGUGGGGAGCAAACAGAUUAGAUACCCUGGUAGUCCACGCCGUAACG